GUCCCUGUAGCGCAAUGGAUAGCGCGUUGGACUUCUAUUCCAAAGGUCGUGAGUUUGAAUCCCAAUUGGGAUG
rnacentral:tRNA from 1 species